rnacentral:rRNA from 1 species
UGGUGGANNCNUGUGGUUUAAUUCGAAGCAACGCGAAGAACCUUACCAGGUCUUGACAUCCUUUGACCACUCUAGAGAUAGAGCUUUCCCUUCGGGGACAAAGUGACAGGUGGUGCAUGGUUGUCGUCAGCUCGUGUCGUGAGAUGUUGGGUUAAGUCCCGCAACGAGCGCAACCCUUAUUACUAGUUGCCAGCAUUUAGUUGGGCACUCUAGUGAGACUGCCGGUGACAAACCGGAGGAAGGUGGGGAUGACGUCAAAUCAUCAUGCCCCUUAUGACCUGGGCUACACACGUGCUACAAUGGAUGGUACAACGAGUCGCAAGGUCGCGAGGCCAAGCUAAUCUCUUAAAGCCAUUCUCAGUUCGGAUUGUAGGCUGCAACUCGCCUACNGAAGCCGGAAUCGC